UACGUAGGGUGCGAGCGUUGUCCGGAAUUAUUGGGCGUAAAGGGCUCGUAGGCGGUUUGUCGCGUCGGGAGUGAAAUCCACUGGCUUAACUGGUGGCUUGCUUUCGAUACGGGCAGACUGGAGGUAUGCAGGGGAGAACGGAAUUCCUGGUGUAGCGGUGAAAUGCGCAGAUAUCAGGAGGAACACCGGUGGCGAAGGCGGUAUCCUGGCCCUGUCCUGACGCUCAGGGGCGAAAGCGUGGGGAGCAAACCGG
rnacentral:rRNA from 1 species